rnacentral:tRNA from 1 species
GGGCGUGUAGCUCAGGUGGUUAGAGCACUGUGCUGAUAACGCAGGGGGUCGCUGGUUCGAGUCCAGCCAUGCCCACCA